AAGAAUUCCCCAGUACCAAGCA
rnacentral:miRNA from 1 species